UGGAAGCGAGUUCCUUGGCCCGUGUGUGCUUCCAGUGCUCUAGUGUGGAGCAGCCAGUAGCGUCCCCAAGCUGCGUGCACACACAUGCCUAUGGUGGUAGUCAGGUUGCCAGAGUUGUGUGAAAAACUGCUGUCUGACUUAAUUUGCAACCUCAGCCAUCACUAAAAAAGCCGGGUGAACCACCUUAACUGGGAUCUCAUCUUGUGACCCAAACGUCCCCUUGAACGAAGCAAGAAUGAAGCUUAAGCAGACCUGAGAUAAAAAAGGAUCAGGAUCCAAGGAUCUUGUAUACAAUUUCUGGUCGUCUUUGACAAGUUGGAGUCCCUCAGGGAACAACAGGGGGAUGUCACUGGCUGAGCUGGCACUGGAAGGGAAUUUGCGCCCAACUCCACUUGCAUCUGGUUUUCUCCUGAAUCGGGGCUGGGGAGCCUUCAGGGCAGAGCAAUAAUACGAGAGGAAGAAUGGUCUACUCCUCCAAGCAAAAGAAAAGCUGAGCUACCAUGCUCUUAAUGGGAGUCUCUGGUGGUAGUGUUCCCUGCUGCUACAUGGCGCCACUACAAUGAAGAGUCCCAGCUCCUGGAGUCAGAUGAUUAUGUGAGAAUCAUCAGCCUUCAUUUUAAACAAAAAGCUAAUCUCUAGCCCUCCUGGGUGCAGAGAAAAACUUGAGAACGCAACAUGACUGUAACUCUACAGGCUCAGAAACCAGAACGCAAGGAUGCAAAUGACUGAGGUUCAGGAGCUGUGACUUCUAGUUCUUGUUUUCCUGGUCUGUCUUUGUGCCUGUGGGCUCCUGAAGCUCAAGCUGACCUCUGCAGCAAGACUACAAAUGUUCGGACGUGAAGCUGGCUGGAGAUUUAUGCCCCCAAAAUUCAUUAUUAGUCACCAUUUGCCAGGGGCCCACACCUUUCACAAUCCUCUAGCCAUUAAAUAAUCCAUUGACCAGAGCUGAGGCAGAAUGUGAUUGAAAUUGAAGGCCCUGUUGAUGAGGGGGCGGAAAAGUCUGUUACUUUAUCAGGUGAUGUUCUCUGAUGACAUUUAGCGUCUCGAAGUCUGUCUGACCCACGCUGUUUCACUGCAGCUGUCCUUUCUCCUGUAACUUAGCAUCACAAGGUCCAUCUCUAAUGGAAAAAUGAUCCAUUGCUGAUAUUCCUAUCACUCUCCCUAGGUGGUGUUGAAACCAGUCUAACUGCUAGUAUUGAUAGAACAAAACUGCUGUCAACUAGAGCUGGUCAAAAAACAGAAAUAAAUGUUUGCAAAAAAGUCAUUUUCAUUCUGCUGGUUUCAAAAGAGAACAAUUUUUUGUUCAAAAUUUUUCAUGAAAAUGUUUUAUAAAAAACACAACUUUGAUCCCCCCCCUUCCUUCUUUUCAUCUCUUUUUACCUU